rnacentral:rRNA from 1 species
CCUACGGGAGGCAGCAGUGGGGAAUAUUGGGCAAUGGAGGAAACUCUGACCCAGCAACGCCGCGUGAGUGAUGAAGGUCUUCGGAUUGUAAAGCUCUUUUCUUAGGGAAGAAGAAAGUGACGGUACCUUAGGAAUAAGCCUCGGCUAACUACGUGCCAGCAGCCGCGGUAGUACGUAGGAGGCGAGCGUUAUCCGGAAUGACUGGGCGUAAAGGGUGCGUAGGUGGGUUGGCAAGUCAGUGGCGAAACUCCAGGGCUAAACCUUGGAACUGCUACUAAAACUGUUGGACUGGAGUGCAGGAGGGGCAACCGGAAUUCCUAGUGUAGCAGUGGAAUGCGUAGAUAUUAGGAGGAACACCAGUGGCGAAGGCGGGUUGCUGGACUGUAACUGACGCUGAGGCACGAAAGCGUGGGGAGCAAACAGGAUUAGAUACCCGUGUAGUC